rnacentral:rRNA from 1 species
CCAAUAGUAUAUAUUAAAGUUGUUGCAGUUAAAAAGCUCAUAGUUGAAUUUUGGAAUCAAUAUUUCAGUCAUGCCAUUGGUAUGCACUGUUAUCAUUAAUUUUUCACCUUCUAAAGAACCGUAAUAUCAUUAAUUUGGUGUUACAGUGAAUUAGGACUGUUAUCUUGGAAAAAUUAGAGUGUUUAAAGUAGACUUACACUUGAAUACAUUAGCAUGGAAUAAUGAAAUAGGACAUCCGAUUCUAUUUUGUUAGUUUCUAGGAUUGAUGUAAUGAUUAAUAGGGAUAGUUGGGAGUAUUAGUAUUCAAUUGUCAGAGGUGAAAUUCUUGGAUUUAUUGAAGAUUAACUACUGCAAAAGUAUUUGUUAAGGAUGUUUUCAUUAAUCAAGAAUGAAAGUUAGGAGAUCGAAGACGAUCAGAUACCGUCGUAGUCUUAACCAUAAACUAUGCUGACUAGGGAUCAGAUGAUGUUAAUUUUUUAAUGACUCAUUUAGCGCCUUACG